GAUAAAAUGGCUGAGAAAUAGGCGGUAAACUGUAAAUUUAUUUAGGGAAGGAUAUUCCUUUUAUCA
rnacentral:tRNA from 1 species